rnacentral:rRNA from 1 species
GACGAACGCUGGCGGCGUGCCUAAUACAUGCAAGUUGAGCGCUGAAGGUUGGUACUUGUACCGACUGGAUGAGCAGCGAACGGGUGAGUAACGCGUGGGGAAUCUGCCUUUGAGCGGGGGACAACAUUUGGAAACGAAUGCUAAUACCGCAUAAAAACUUUAAACACAAGUUUUAAGUUUGAAAGAUGCAAUUGCAUCACUCAAAGAUGAUCCCGCGUUGUAUUAGCUAGUUGGUGAGGUAAAGGCUCACCAAGGCGAUGAUACAUAGCCGACCUGAGAGGGGGAUCGGCCAAAUUGGGACUGAGAACCGGCCCAAACCCCCACGGGAGGCAGGAGUAGGGAAUCUUCGGCAAGGGACGAAAGUCUGACCGAGCAACGCCGCGGGAGGGAAGAAGGUUUUCGGAUCGUAAAACUUUGUUGGUAGGGAAAAACGUUGGGGGGGGGGGAAAGCUCAUAAAGUGACGGUAACUACCCAGAAAGGGACGGCUAACUACGU